rnacentral:misc_RNA from 1 species
GCUGCACGCUCACGACAACACCGGGCUGGUGGUGUGCUGAUUAUGUCCCUGC